ensembl:lncRNA
GUGACUUUAGUGUAUGUACUGUUCAUGCUUCAGUUCUAGUGUUCCAAGCAUGAUAAAACAAAACGGAGGACUUCAUUCACCAUCCUUUUUUUAAUAGGAAACUUGGACAGAAUCUUGUCCUUGGAAAAUGGUCAGAAAAAACUGGAAGUGAUUUAAAGGGAGUUCCUGUGCAAGAUUAUGGGAAUGACUGCAGUAUCUUCAUGAUCAUGUACAUCUGGUAUAUGGCAGUGGAGGCUUAUUUUGAUUUCACUGUGUCACGGGAAAAGAUUUGCACAUUGGACUGAAGAUGGGAGACAAAUUCUUAAGGGAACUUUUACACCCGUCUUCCGCAUACCAAAGAAAAGAAAAUGUCCAGACCCCACAGUAAGCUUUGUGGGGUUUAUCUUUUACAGAGCUACUCUAAAAGAGACUGCUAAGAAGUCAGACUGCUGACCACAUUUCUAAUAAUUUUCAUAUUUCCACAGAAGGAUGGCAAGCCAACCAGAAGAAUCCAGAAAAACAUUAUGAAAUGGGCACAACACAGAAAUGGGUACAUCUAAUGUAUGUACAGAUAAAUUUUCUCGUGAUAAAAU